UGUCUGCUUAUUUGCUGACUCAUUACUGAUUUCAACUCUGCAAAUAGCAACAAAAAGCUGUUUUAAUGAGAUUUUAAAGUUCAGCUGUGAAAAUUGAAAACUACCCAACACCAAAGCCCCCAGCCAUCUGAGACUAGAGAAUGCCACGCUGAAAUGUUCUUGACAUUGUCUACGAGUGUAGGUCUGACCGCUCGGCUUACAGCAGUGGGAAGGGACCCCAGGUAGGAAGCAUGAACUGCCGCUGGCCUGCCUCGGAUUGCCAGGGACAUCUUUGGGAGAAUUACAUACAAAAUGUUUGCAAAGGGCCCCUCGUAGUGCCUGGCUUAUUGGGCCUGGAGACCACAGAUCAACCUUGGACUGACUGGAUUGGAGGCCAGAUGAAGAGAGACAAGGCCAGGAUGAAGAACCUGUGAAAAACCCAGAAGCUGAAGGUCCAAGCAGAGUCCUGGGUCCAAGCUGGUGCAUUAGGUGAUUGAAUGGUGAGAUCAAAUAUGGAAAUAGAAACACAAAAUUAAAAGUCAUCUUGCCAAGCUUCCUGCACCCAGCAAAGAAUUGGUCAUAGAAGAGGGGCACCUGGAGAACAAGUCCUUAUUGUUCUAGACCUAACUCCUUUCCCUUAUCCAGGGUAGGUUUCCUGCACCCUGAUGGGGCAGAAUUGAACUCAUGGGUCUUCGUGGUACAUACUGCAUUCCUUAUUGCAUCACUCUAUACUUCUUUGGUUUUACCUUUCUUCCCUAUUAGAAUUUGAGCCCCUCGAGGGUAAGGAUUCUUUUCUAUUUUUAUAUUUCUGUCACUGAAUAUAGCACCUUACUCAUAAGCUUUUAAAACAUGUCAAAUGGGGACUCCAGAGCAGCUCUAUUGUUAAGCAACGGACUCAUGAUUUCGGCUGAGGUCAUGAUCUCAUGAGUCAUGGCACUGUGCUGUGAGUCAGGGUCCAUGACCUGCACUGAGUCUGCUGGAGAUUCUCUCCCUCUGGCCCUCCCUCCACUUCUGUACAUGGAUGUAUG